rnacentral:rRNA from 1 species
UACGUAGGGUGCGAGCGUUGUCCGGAAUUAUUGGGCGUAAAGAGCUUGUAGGCGGUUUGUCGCGUCUGCCGUGAAAAUCCGGGGCUCAACCCCGGACUUGCGGUGGGUACGGGCAGACUAGAGUGUGGUAGGGGAGACUGGAAUUCCUGGUGUAGCGGUGAAAUGCGCAGAUAUCAGGAGGAACACCGAUGGCGAAGGCAGGUCUCUGGGCCACUACUGACGCUGAGACGCGAAAGCGUGGGGAGCAAGCAGG